CUAACGCGUGGGAAACCUGCCCAGAAGCGGGGGAUAACACCUGGAAACAGAUGCUAAUACCGCAUAACAACUUGGACCGCAUGGUCCGAGUUUGAAAGAUGGCUUCGGCUAUCACUUUUGGAUGGUCCCGCGGCGUAUUAGCUAGAUGGUGGGGUAACGGCUCACCAUGGCAAUGAUACGUAGCCGACCUGAGAGGGUAAUCGGCCACAUUGGGACUGAGACACGGCCCAAACUCCUACGGGAGGCAGCAGUAGGGAAUCUUCCACAAUGGACGAAAGUCUGAUGGAGCAACGCCGCGUGAGUGAAGAAGGGUUUCGGCUCGUAAAACUCUGUUGUUAAAGAAGAACAUAUCUGAGAGUAACUGUUCAGGUAUUGACGGUAUUUAACCAGAAAGCCACGGCUAACUACGUGCCAGCAGCCGCGGUAAUACGUAGGUGGCAAGCGUUGUCCGGAUUUAUUGGGCGUAAAGCGAGCGCAGGCGGUUUUUUAAGUCUGAUGUGAAAGCCUUCGGCUCAACCGAAGAAGUGCAUCGGAAACUGGGAAACUUGAGUGCAGAAGAGGACAGUGGAACUCCAUGUGUAGCGGUGAAAUGCGUAGAUAUAUGGAAGAACACCAGUGGCGAAGGCGGCUGUCUGGUCUGUAACUGACGCUGAGGCUCGAAAGUAUGGGUAGCAAACAGGAUUAGAUACCCUGGUAGUCCAUACCGUAAACGAUGAAUGCUAAGUGUUGGAGGGUUUCCGCCCUUCAGUGCUGCAGCUAACGCAUUAAGCAUUCCGCCUGGGGAGUACGGCCGCAAGGCUGAAACUCAAAGGAAUUGACGGGGGCCCGCACAAGCGGUGGAGCAUGUGGUUUAAUUCGAAGCUACGCGAAGAACCUUACCAGGUCUUGACAUACUAUGCAAAUCUAAGAGAUUAGACGUUCCCUUCGGGGACAUGGAUACAGGUGGUGCAUGGUUGUCGUCAGCUCGUGUCGUGAGAUGUUGGGUUAAGUCCCGCAACGAGCGCAACCCUUAUUAUCAGUUGCCAGCAUUAAGUUGGGCACUCUGGUGAGACUGCCGGUGACAAACCGGAGGAAGGUGGGGAUGACGUCAAAUCAUCAUGCCCCUUAUGACCUGGGCUACACACGUGCUACAAUGGAUGGUACAACGAGUUGCGAACUCGCGAGAGUAAGCUAAUCUCUUAAAGCCAUUCUCAGUUCGGAUUGUAGGCUGCAACUCGCCUACAUGAAGUCGGAAUCGCUAGUAAUCGCGGAUCAGCAUGCCGCGGUGAAUACGUUCCCG
rnacentral:rRNA from 1 species